GACGAACGCUGGCGGCGUGCCUAAUACAUGCAAGUAGAACGCUGAAGGAGGAGCUUGCUUCUCUGGAUGAGUUGCGAACGGGUGAGUAACGCGUAGGUAACCUGCCUGGUAGCGGGGGAUAACUAUUGGAAACGAUAGCUAAUACCGCAUAAUAGCAGUUAUUGCAUGAUAACUGUUUGAAAGGUGCAAUUGCACCACUACCAGAUGGACCUGCGUUGUAUUAGCUAGUUGGUGGGGUAACGGCCUACCAAGGCGACGAUGCAUAGCCGACCUGAGAGGGUGAUCGGCCACACUGGGACUGAGACACGGCCCAGACUCCUACGGGAGGCAGCAGUAGGGAAUCUUCCGCAAUGGGCGAAAGCCUGACGGAGCAACGCCGCGUGAGUGAAGAAGGAUUUCGGUUCGUAAAGCUCUGUUGUUAGGGAAGAAUGAUUGUGUAGUAACUAUACACAGUAGAGACGGUACCUAACCAGAAAGCCACGGCUAACUACGUGCCAGCAGCCGCGGUAAUACGUAGGUGGCAAGCGUUGUCCGGAAUUAUUGGGCGUAAAGCGCGCGCAGGUGGUUUAAUAAGUCUGAUGUGAAAGCCCACGGCUCAACCGUGGAGGGUCAUUGGAAACUGUUAAACUUGAGUGCAGGAGAGAAAAGUGGAAUUCCUAGUGUAGCGGUGAAAUGCGUAGAGAUUAGGAGGAACACCAGUGGCGAAGGCGGCUUUUUGGCCUGUAACUGACACUGAGGCGCGAAAGCGUGGGGAGCAAACAGG
rnacentral:rRNA from 1 species